GAGGCAAGAAGUACGCGCGGAUGCGUACCCCCUCAACAACCACUUGAGAGAUAAAUUGGCGCUGGCAGCACGUUUAUGAAGACAUUAAUUGGCAGCCGCCGCGCGAAUUGUCGAUCUGUCAUCU
ensembl:ncRNA R11B5.2 ncRNA